rnacentral:rRNA from 1 species
CGGCGGACGGGUGAGUAACGCGUGGGUAACCUGCCUCAUACAGGGGGAUAACAGUUAGAAAUGACUGCUAAUACCGCAUAAGACCACAGCACCGCAUGGUGCAGGGGUAAAAACUCCGGUGGUAUGAGAUGGACCCGCGUCUGAUUAGGUAGUUGGUGGGGUAACGGCCUACCAAACCGACGAUCAGUAGCCGACCUGAGAGGGUGACCGGCCACAUUGGGACUGAGACACGGCCCAA